rnacentral:lncRNA from 1 species
AGCUCUCUCUCUUGGCUCCGUCUGUCAAUUUCUCUUCACUCUGUCGUCGCUUUGCUCUCACUCUCUCAUCUCUUGUCGAUCAGCUCUCACGCUCUCGUCGCUCAGCCCUCAAUCUCUCGUCGCUCAGCUCUGACUCUCUCUUCUCUCUUCCUCUCCGAGCGAAAUCUGUUCAUCGAAGCUGAACUCCAUCGUUCACCUUGAACAGGUACUGUUCAUCGUCAUUUUCUUACAGUUUAGGGUUUCUCUGAAGUUGGUUU